CUCUGUUGUUAGGGAAGAACAAGUGCUAGUUGAAUAAGCUGGCACCUUGACGGUACCUAACCAGAAAGCCACGGCUAACUACGUGCCAGCAGCCGCGGUAAUACGUAGGUGGCAAGCGUUAUCCGGAAUUAUUGGGCGUAAAGCGCGCGCAGGUGGUUUCUUAAGUCUGAUGUGAAAGCCCACGGCUCAACCGUGGAGGGUCAUUGGAAACUGGGAGACUUGAGUGCAGAAGAGGAAAGUGGAAUUCCAUGUGUAGCGGUGAAAUGCGUAGAGAUAUGGAGGAACACCAGUGGCGAAGGCGACUUUCUGGUCUGUAACUGACACUGAGGCGCGAAAGCG
rnacentral:rRNA from 1 species